rnacentral:rRNA from 1 species
ACGAAGGUGGCAAGCGUUGUUCGGAUUUACUGGGCGUACAGGGAGCGUAGGCGGUUGGGUAAGCCCUUCGUGAAAUCUCCGGGCCUAACCCGGAAAGUGCGGAGGGGACUGCUCGGCUAGAGGAUGGGAGAGGAGCGCGGAAUUCCCGGUGUAGCGGUGAAAUGCGUAGAGAUGCGGAGGAACACCGAUGGCGAAGGCAAUCCCCUGGGCCUGCACUGACGCUCAUGCACGAAAGCGUGGGGAGCAAACAGGA